CCCCACCCACCUUCAUUAAUGCUCCUCGAUCCUCGGGCCCAUCCUCCUUCCCUUUCCUAUAAAUAUGCUGCUUGAGUCUCCUAUCUUUUGCAUCACCUCUCCUUUCCGCUAUGAGUGUUCGAGAUAUCCUCGAGGAGUAUGGUCGCGAAGUGCAGCUUCAGCAUGCCACCUGGGCCCUGUGUCUGCUGUCGCCUGCUGGUGUUCCCAAUAGUGUGGCCGUGGCCGAGACUCAGCGCC
rnacentral:lncRNA from 1 species